rnacentral:rRNA from 1 species
CAAGGGGCGCCGUGCGUAUACAUGCAAGUCGAACGCUUCUUUUUCACCGGAGCUUGCUCCACCGGAAAAAGAGGAGUGGCGAACGGGUGAGUAACACGUGGGUAACCUGCCCAUCAGAAGGGGAUAACACUUGGAAACAGGUGCUAAUACCGUAUAACAAUCAAAACCGCAUGGUUUUGAUUUGAAAGGCGCUUUCGGGUGUCGCUGAUGGAUGGACCCGCGGUGCAUUAGCUAGUUGGUGAGGUAACGGCUCACCAAGGCCACGAUGCAUAGCCGACCUGAGAGGGUGAUCGGCCACAUUGGGACUGAGACACGGCCCAAACUCCUACGGGAGGCAGCAGUAGGGAAUCUUCGGCAAUGGACGAAAGUCUGACCGAGCAACGCCGCGUGAGUGAAGAAGGUUUUCGGAUCGUAAAACUCUGUUGUUAGAGAAGAACAAGGAUGAGAGUAACUGUUCAUCCCUUGACGGUAUCUAACCAGAAAGCCACGGCUAACUACGUGCCAGCAGCCGCGGUAAUACGUAGGUGGCAAGCGUUGUCCGGAUUUAUUGGGCGUAAAGCGAGCGCAGGCGGUUUCUUAAGUCUGAUGUGAAAGCCCCCGGCUCAACCGGGGAGGGUCAUUGGAAACUGGGAGACUUGAGUGCAGAAGAGGAGAGUGGAAUUCCAUGUGUAGCGGUGAAAUGCGUAGAUAUAUGGAGGAACACCAGUGGCGAAGGCGGCUCUCUGGUCUGUAACUGACGCUGAGGCUCGAAAGCGUGGGGAGCAAACAGGAUUAGAUACCCUGGUAGUCCACGCCGUAAACGAUGAGUGCUAAGUGUUGGAGGGUUUCCGCCCUUCAGUGCUGCAGCUAACGCAUUAAGCACUCCGCCUGGGGAGUACGACCGCAAGGUUGAAACUCAAAGGAAUUGACGGGGGCCCGCACAAGCGGUGGAGCAUGUGGUUUAAUUCGAAGCAACGCGAAGAACCUUACCAGGUCUUGACAUCCUUUGACCACUCUAGAGAUAGAGCUUCCCCUUC